rnacentral:lncRNA from 10 species
CUUCCAGCCAAACCGCUCUGUGCUCCUCGGAGCCAGCCUUCUUCUGAGCAAGGCCCUUAACACCCCUUCUUGUUGAGCUGCCUCUGCUCUCCCUGGAUCCUCUUGGCUUAGCACCUCUCCAGCCCCUCCCAACUGGACCUCUCCUGGGACAGCAUGUGCUCUGCAUGGAAUAACAAGGUUAAAUGGACAAGGCUGAAUGGCCCUGUGAUGGGGAGUGCCUUUAAGCCACAUGACGGAAAUGAAACAGGAGCCAUAAUGACCAUGACUGGAGGAGAAUCAGAUUCUGGCCUGGCCUGGUUCUGUGAGAUACCUUAAAUCAUACUUUCUGUAGCAUCCCUUAAAGCUGUAGGCUAACCCAAGAAGAAUAAAGCAUCGGCUUCCCUGACAUGCUGCUCCCCCCAAAACAGAGUGCCAAUAUGAUUCCAAGGUUCUUAGCACACUGUAUAUUACCUCACUCCUCCUACAGUGGUCUGGAACUGAACUUGCAAUUUCUCCAAGAUAUGUCGGUAUCUCUCUCCAUGCUGUGCUGCGUGGGCUUUGGGAGCGGUGAUGUGGACCAUUUGAAAUUGUCCUUGCUACCUCUUUAAUGCAUAUUUUUAUAUUUCUAUGCUCCACCCAAGUGCUGUAGUCUCUCAACUGCCUUCUUUUUGUUCUUCAGCUUUUAUGAAGCUAUUUUCAAGUGUGAGUAGUUGUCCAAAUUCAUGUUUCUUGAGGGAACAAGUGACUUGUUUGUAAGUUGACUUGUAUAUCUUUUUAUAGCUGAGAUUUUAUCCUGUGAUCUUACUAACUCAGGAAUUUUUUGGAGAUUCUUUGCAGUUUUCUAAGUAGAAUAACCAUAUUAUAUUUAUUAUUAUUUUCCUUCUUACUUUGGUUUUAAUUUGCUCUUUUUUUACAUGUUUUCUGAGUUAGAAACUUAGGUUAUUGAUUUGAUACCCUUAUUCCUUUAUAACAUAUGCAUUUGAUUGUGUAAGUUUUUCUCUAAGCACUGCUUUAGUGCAUCCCACAAAUUUUGAUCUGUUGUAUAUUUUUUAUUUACUUUAAUAUAUCUUCUAAUUUUCUUUUGACUUUAUCUUUGACCAAUGAAAUAUUCAGAAAUGUGUAAUUUCUAAAUAUUUGGGAGAUUUUCUAAAUAUUUCUCUGUUACUGCUUUCUAGUUCAACUCCACUAUGGUUAGAGAACACACUUUGAAUGUUUUAAAUCUGUUAAGAUUUGUUUUAUGACUUAAGACACAGUUGGUAUUUGUGAAUGUUUCAUGUGCACUUGAAAACAAUGUUUAUUCUGCUUUCAUUGGGUCAGGUGGUCUAAAAAUGGCAUUUAAGUUAAUUUGGUUGAUAGUGAUUUUCAGGUAUUAUAUAUCCUUCCUGAUUCCUGCCUAGUUGUUCUAAUGAUUACUGACAGAAGACUGUUGAAAUCUCCAAUUACACUAUUAUUUUUGUAUUUCUACCUUUACCUCUAUAAUUUUUGCUUUAGUAUUGUCACAAUAUUUUGUUGGGUGCAUACCAAUUUAGUAUAGCUAUGUAUUUUUGGUAGAUUGGCACUUUUAACCAUUAUACAAUGUCCCUCUUGGUCCUUGGUAACUUUCCUUCAUUGGAAUUCUACUUUUUUUGAUAUUAAUAUGACAAUUCUAGCAUUCUUUUGGUUAGUAUUUGCAUGGUAUGUCCUUUUCUAUUAUUUAGCUUUUAGCCAAGCUGAGUGUUUUUAUUUAAAAUGGGUUUCCUGCGACUAAAAAUCAUUCUAAUCUUAUUAGAUUAUCUAAUAACCUAAUUAUCUCUCUAUUGGCUGAACUUAGUCAUGGGAUAGAACCUACUUUCAGGGAAGGUUGCAUAAUACAGUCCUUUAUCUGGCCAUAUUGCCUGCACACUUAAAUGUAACCAUGCACCUGUAUAUACACACAUUCACAUAUAUCUGUGUUUUGUUUCUAAAGAAAAGGUGAGAGUGGGUGUUUGUAUAAGCAUCUAGCUAUUUCUGCUUUCAUAUGCUUUUGGUAUUUGUAAACUGUCUUUACCUGUAAAAUAAGGACAUUUCUAACCAUUAUUUCACUUCUAGAAUAAUUAAUUUAUCUGAUCAUUUUAUAUAACAUUUUAAGUGUCUUGUUAAUUUUUUUGUUGAAGUUAUUCAAUAUGUAUUGAAUAUAAAAACACAUCAUUCCUAGUAAAUUAUAGGGAGAUAAUUUUGUCUUUGUUUAAAAAAAUAAGCUUGCUUUCUCAAGGGGGGCUUAAUAUUUCAAAUUUCAUAGCAGCCAUUUAUUGUCAGCAACUUAAAGACUGUUUCUGUUUUAAGAAUACAUUUUUCUUCGAAAUAAAGUCAGAAAUUGGAGCAUCAGCCAUCUUACAUAUCUCCCCAUGCAGUAUAAAUUAAUUUCCAGACUUUCGGGGACAAACUUUCAUCCUAGAAAACCGGAGUGUCAGCAGUGAGCUAGGGAGAGCAGUGGGCUGUUACAUGACACCACUGUUCAAAGUGUCAGGUCACAUGUAGCACUUUAUGAGUUCCCCCUUUCCUGACUGAAACAAACUAUUUUAAUACAUUUCUAAAAAACCAAAAAAUACAAAAUACUCUUUUAAUACAACAUGCAUAUAUGUUUACUAUGACUAAAUAUAUUAUGCCUCUUCCUGUCAAACAGCAUCCAAUGUGGUGAAAUGAAAAACAAUAAAUCUGGGCUGGGUGUGGUGACUCAUGCCUGUAAUCCCAGCACUUUGGGAGGCUGAGGCGGGUGGAUCACCUGAGGUUGGGAGUUUGAGACCAGCCUGACCAAUGGGGAGAAACCCCGUCUCUACUAAAAAUACAAAAUUAGCUGGGCGUGGUGGCGCAUGCCUGUAAUCCCAGCUACUCGGGAGGUUGAGGCAGGAGAACUGCCUGAACCCGGGAGGUGGAGGUUGCAGGGAGCCAAGAUGGCACCAUUGCACUCCAGCCUGGGCAACAAGAGUGAAACCCCGUCUCAAAAAAAUAAAAACAAAAAUAAAAACAAAAACAGUAAAUAUUAUAUAUCAGCAUUUGUGAUAUUUAUUCCUUCUGUUUAGUUAUUUGCCUCUAGAUUGAAGCAUUCAAAACAGAAAAUUAUAUUCAGAGUAAAAACUCUUAGCUGGAUAAUGGAACCUAUCAUUUUAAGUUUUUCCUAUAUUUCCUAAAAAUACCUAUAUUAGGUAUAUUUUUUCCAAUAUUACUCCUUAUCUUUACCUUAGUUCCCUUUCAUUUUUGAUUGUCAUUGUGCUCUCAGCUACACCUGAAAAUUUCUCUGAUUUUUCCCAAGUUGGGAAAUUAAUCCACUUUAAAUUCCAUUAAAGUUUGAAACUCUUUUUCCAUUGUCUUGUGGUUUUAUUUGUACAUUUUAAUUUACUGUAAUUUUAAAAUGUCUCUUUCUAGUUUUGACAAAUGUCAUACUUUUCC